rnacentral:lncRNA from 1 species
GAAGUUUGAGACAAUAAUAGACGGUAAGUUCUGUAUCUGAAUGUGUGUAUAUCAUUUUGUGAAGUAGUUCAUGGUGGCUGAUUGCAUGCCAAAUCCAAUUUGUAUUUAGUAGGGCUGGCAUGUGUGGGGUCAUCACCACCACAAGGUUUUAGAAGCACUUCGCAAGCGCGAGGGAGUCAUUGCGUCUGAUCAAGUUAGGUCUGGUGAACCCAGAUGUGCUUCUAUUACCUAAUUCUGUACGGUCAUUCUAUACAAUGUAAAUGAUGCCAUGCUAACUCAAAUUGAUGGGUGGCCUGCAAUGCAGCCAGGUCAGAUGGCAAGCUGCCAUUGAACAUGUCGGCAGCAGAAGGCAUUAGGAGGCGGCAGAAGAGGUGUGCAAACAGGGGCAGCAGGCAGUAUCGUCAGAGGAGAUGCCUAACGCGAUCAAGCAGGCAUUUGUCACCUCGAAAAGCUCUGAUGAAUAUGAAGAUCCGGCUGCAAUCAAGCUACAGGUAUUGGCAGAGCUGAACUUUAGCAGUGAUAUUUGUUCACUUUGGAAAAUAGUAGUACUAAUCAUUAUGUUUGUCAAGUGCCACACCCAGGAAAGAGGACAAAGAAGCAAGCAGGGCCUACUCCAGCAAGGCCAACAUCAGUGCCCAGAACUGCUUCUCAACCAGUUGGAAGGGGAAGCCGGAGGAGUCACAACAGGGCAGGUUGAAGCUCCAGAUAGCCUGCUCCAGGAGUUCAAGCUCACAGCAAGUCCGAAGGCAUAACAGCACUGGGGAACAUUGAAUGCCUAGCUUUGCUUCUCAAUCUGUGUGCAUUUUGUUCAUGUGAAAAUUAAGUCUCCAGCCCUUUGUGGAUGCACCUAGGAGCCAUUCCCAAUUUCCGCCUUUUAUGGAUGUUUAGUAUUGUCAAAGACCUUAAGCAUUUGUAUGGUUACUUAUGAGUAAGGAUUAUUAUGUGACCUGAAGCUUAUCUGAAAGUGUGAUAUGCCUGUCAAUUUCUUAAAGUGCCAUUGCUGUAAAUUUAUUCUGAAUUCGAUGUCAAUAAUUUGUACAGUUCCGGUUAACUUGUGAAUUUGCUGAGUGAAAGUCAUCGAAAACAUGAGCGAACAGAGACGGUCAUCGCAUAUGCGUGGGCGUGGCAUACAUGAUGACUUAUUUGACCGCAUGUCGGGUGACAGCAUGGCAACUGAAGGGGUUUUCUGUGAAGUCCCAGCCCAGUUCUUUUAGUCAGCUUCUAGUGCUGCUCGCCGGCGCCUGGCCAGCUUCUAGUCAGCUUCUAGUGCUGCUACUGGCCGGUUCCAUCUCCGUACUGCAUGCUGCUUGUUGCUUGAGCUCGCCGCACUGCUGCUUCUGCUGCUCGUCGCCACAAGCAGACUAGGCUUCCCCAGAUCGCUGGCGCAAGCAUUGCGGCUGCUCGACGCCCGGCCGGUGCAUACUGCCGCAUGCCGAUCGCCGCAUACUAGAUUCUGCUGGACAUAGACCGAUAGACGACGGACGACCUGGGAGGCUCGAUCGGUUACAGCCGGCGAUCGAGGAAGAUAUGUAUCAGUCCAGGCCUCCAGGGCCUCCGUAGGUCGUCGCCGCCACUGCCCAGGUUUUUUAGAAAAGGAGGAAUCACCCCCGGCCUCUGCAUCUGGGUGAUGCAUGCGGCCAUAUUAUUUAUUAUUCACAAAGACCUUACAAAGUAAUACAAUAGUAAGCCCGAGGCCACCAUCUAGACGACACCUGUCGUUACUCCUAUCCCCUUGAUGAAGGUGUGCUGAAUGUCCGAGCCAAAUACGAAACAGACAUCGCACGAAAGUCUAACAUCUAACGCUGGAUGCCCCAUCCAAGCCACAUAGGCGAGACUGGGUAACACUCCGGUCCGGCGCACUCUCAGUGAGUACCACAUGCACACGCUGCAAAGGGCCGUCACCUCCGUCUUCCCUCGAUCCAUCCUCAAAGCAUGUACUGACGCAUCUACCUUGUCAGGCCACUCUGCCAUCGACGCCACCACGACGUCAGACAACGUCGACCUCCUGCGCGUGUCCCUCGCCACACAUCUGACGCCAAGCCUCCACUGCUCCAUGCCGUCGAGAUCCGUCGUCAUGAAUAUGUACAAAGAAACACCGCUCCACCGCAGAUGCCAUCCACUGGUCCCUCGAGCCAGUGCAUCUCCAAGAAUGCCGCCCCCAAGGGGGUAACGACACAUGAAUGCCGCCGUCAUCCGAUCAACUGAUCUAGGGUUUUCCCGGGAGGUAUUGGGUGGGGUUGGGAGCUUCACCUCGAUGAUGCCUUCAUGAAGGAAAUGAUGAUAAGACCAUCGUCGUCACCGGCUCCAGCCAAUGACCGAAGGCCAAGUUUUCACCCGGAUCCAUUCCAAGAAAUCCACCCGACAACUUGUGCACUAUCUCGACCGCCUUCAAAGCCCCAGAUCUAGCCGCCUAGAUCCGGCGACCAACCGCAACAGCAGUGCCACCGUAGGAGCCCUGGCACACCAGCCACUGCCUGAAUGCGCCACCACUGGAGCCUGGGAGGAGGGCUCCCACCCCACCUCGCCAACCCGCGAGAGCCGCCGGGAUGGAUCCCCCACGCUCAUCACCGUCUCUGAUCUGAACCAAUCUGUGGCCAAACCACAAGAUCGUCGAUGCGGAUCCGCCUUGGAUAGGGACUGCACCACGCCAUGCCACCGCGGGAAGCCUGAGCUUCACUCGCCGCCACCUUCCAGCGCUGCCGCCCCGGGAUCCAGCCGCCACCGACAGGACGCGCCGCCCACGUGCAGCAGGCCGGAGGAGCCCCCCGAUCCANNNNNNNNNNNNNNNNNNNNNNNNNNNNNNNNNNNNNNNNNNNNNNNNNNNNNNNNNNNNNNNNNNNNNNNNNNNNNNNNNNNNNNNNNNNNNNNNNNNNNNNNNNNNNNNNNNNNNNNNNNNNNNNNNNNNNNNNNNNNNNNNNNNNNNNNNNNNNNNNNNNNNNNNNNNNNNNNNNNNNNNNNNNNNNNNNNNNNNNNNNNNNNNNNNNNNNNNNNNNNNNNNNNNNNNNNNNNNNNNNNNNNNNNNNNNNNNNNNNNNNNNNNNNNNNNNNNNNNNNNNNNNNNNNNNNNNNNNNNNNNNNNNNNNNNNNNNNNNNNNNNNNNNNNNNNNNNNNNNNNNNNNNNNNNNNNNNNNNNNNNNNNNNNNNNNNNNNNNNNNNNNNNNNNNNNNNNNNNNNNNNNNNNNNNNNNNNNNNNNNNNNNNNNNNNNNNNNNNNNNNNNNNNNNNNNNNNNNNNNNNNNNNNNNNNNNNNNNNNNNNNNNNNNNNNNNNNNNNNNNNNNNNNNNNNNNNNNNNNNNNNNNNNNNNNNNNNNNNNNNNNNNNNNNNNNNNNNNNNNNNNNNNNNNNNNNNNNNNNNNNNNNNNNNNNNNNNNNNNNNNNNNNNNNNNNNNNNNNGGACCUGACCGCGGAGGACAACCACGUGCGUCACGGAGGCUAGCUCUCACGUGUGUUGCUUGUGUUGCAUAUCUGAGUUAUUUAUCCAAAACCACCACACUUAAAGCUAGGAUAACAACUUAGUAUCACAUUUAAGCCAGGGCACAAAAAACCAUCAGAAAUACGCCUAAGAGCAAGCACAAUAGGAUGAUGUAUGCAGGAUGUAAGACUUUAAAUAUUAGAGUUGGCAGAGAGAGAAGACAAGCGGGCUUCUAACUAACAGCCGGCUGUAGCACAUGCUCCUAGACAUUUUGUGAGAGAGAAAGGUGGGCCAUGUAUCAACUAGUACAAACUUAUAUGCAUCUAUUACACUUGCCGACUAUAACGUUGGCUAUAUUAUUAACCAUGCUCUAGUGCGUAACGCAGAGCACAAAGACUAGCCACAAUGGGUAGUAAUAUAGAGUAGUAACAUGGGUCUCUAUAGUGGGGAGUAACAUAUGUGUGGUAACAUGCAACACUUCAUUUAUUAGGCUAUAGACUCAUCUUGCCUUGAUAUGUGUGAUGUUACUCAUACUAGUAGUAACUAGCUAUGUUACCACAUGCCUCUCUUUUUUCAUUUAUUGCUUGCCAUAUUAUCUAUUUUAUCUAGAUAUGUGUGAUGUUACUACCUAUGUUACUCCUAUUGUGGGUAGUCUAAUAGUUUGAUUUGCCCAUGAAAAUAGCGAAACCGACAGGUUGGCCCCAUUUGUCGGGCUGACGUGGCCUGCCAAUGUGGAUUAUUCGCUGAGGUGGCCCAAGGCCCCACCUGUCAGAUGCAUCUCUUCUUCCCCUCUCUUCCCUAAAAAUACUCCACCACAGCCAUAUCCUGCACCGCUGCCGGAGCUCAACCCCGGCGAGCCACCCCACCACCGGCGAGCCGCCCCACCACCACAUACCAUCCGUGUCGAACCGCCCUGCUGGAGCUCGAUCUACCUCCAUGGAAGGCGGAUGCAACAUCAGGCACCAGCGGCCGCUCGGAUCCGUCUCGCAUCCACCCCGCCACCCAAACUGCUGCCUGGCGCCGGCGCCGAGUCGAAGAGGAGGACGACUACAUGAGAACUCUCCUUGUGUGUUCUUGCUUCCACCGCCACUUGCUGCUAGCUUGAGUAGGCGCACGGCCUAGGACUCUUGGUGGACGCGGCGAGCACGGGCAUGGCCAUGGUGCUCCAUGACGGCGCGCGCGGCCAAGGUUUCCCGGUGGACGCCGCGAGUACGGCCAUGUCCAUCGCGCUCCACGACGGCGCACGCGGGCAUGGCCUCCCAACGAGCGCCACAAGCACGUGCGUGGCCAUGGCGCUCCACAACGGCGGGCGCGGCCACGGCGCGCGCAAGUUCCCUAGGAAAGCUCGACGGAUCCAAGCACGUUGAGGGCUGGGGCAGCGCGGCGACGACGGGGCAGCGCAGCGAUGACGGGGUAGUGCAGCGAGGUCGAGUUCAUCCAUGGCAGCUGGCAUGGCAGCAGGUUCUUGUUUGAGAGAGAGAGACACGAGGAAUGAAGGAAAAGAAAGGGGCGGCGAGAGGAGCUCUAGCGGCUUGACAGUGGCAGCCAUGUCUGGGAUUACCGCCGACCAGCGGCUUGAUAAGCGCACAUUAGCUGUUUGAUGAAAUGCCCAGGAAGAAAAUGCCUAGGAGAAAAAGAAAAAAAGGAAAAAGAGAUAAACACUCGAGUCAUUGACAGGUGUGACCCUCGUCCAACUCAGCAAAUUGUCCACAUAAGCACGCCAUGUCAGCCCGACAGGUGGGCCCCACCUGUCAGUUUUGCUGUUUUCACGACUAAAUUCCAGCAUCAGUGCUCCGUGUUACGCAUUAGACGCAUUUUUUGUGGUUUUUUGUGCCCUGGCUUGAAUGUGGUAUCAAGUUGUUACCCUAACUCCAACUGUGGUGGUCCGCCUGAGCAAAUCGAUCUGUCGGCUGUCUGCGAAUAUGUGCAGCUACCUCACCUACUCCCUCCAUCCAUGAAUAAGACCUCCUCCAAUGCACUAGUGCUAAGAUAAGGUGCUAAGCACAUUAAAAAUCUAAGCAACUAAAGUCCCCAAUGCAAAGGUGCUUGGCUUGUUGUUGCUAAGCAUCCUUUAUUUAAUGAUUUAGCAACUAAAGCUGUCCAUGCAUUGGUGGGAUUCUUUCAUUUAAGUGUUUUCCCUAGGUUCCCGCGCUUGGCAUUGUGUUGACACCAGAUUUUGGCAUGGUCACGAAUCAGGGUUCGUAUGCAAAAGUUAGAGGCAACACUUCGCGGGCCGGCCCUGAGUGAGAAAGUAUUCGGCCUUUGCUGGCUGAAUGAAACCUUGUCGGGGUAAAACCUUGCCGAUGUGAGGGCUUACCGAUGUGGAAAGCUUGCCGGCGGAGAAGCCUGCCGGCGUGGAAAGCUUGCCGGCGAAGAAGCUUGCCGGUGUGAAAUCUUGUCGAGGGAGAAACCUUGCCGAAGAGGAACUCUUGCCGGGGUAGAAUCCUUGCUGAGGAGGAACUCUUGCUGGGGUAGAAACCUUGCCGAGCUAGGGAGAACCCUUGCCGGUGUAAAAACCUUGCCGGGGUGAAACCUUGUCGGUGCGGAAAGCUUACCCGGGUGGAAGGCCUGCCGGGGUGGAGGUUGUGAUAGUCAAUCCGACCAGAAGCUGAAGAUGGGCUCAAAUGAUUAUCUAGAUGGACUCAAAUGGAGAAGUGAUCUACAUGAAAGAGUUCCGUAUUAUUGAUAUGAACAUCUUUGAAAUUUGGGUUAUUGCCGUCGGAUUUCAUCUCGAAGGCCGAAACUAUGCUCGAAGUACCAAGAUCUUAUAUUCAAAGUACAGUUUAGCUGAUUAAGCCCCCAAGACGACCUCAAAUGAAAAAAAGAUCUACAAGGGUUGUCUUCGUCUCGUCGAAACGAUCGAUUUUGAUAUAAAAAUUGUUCAAAUCCGAGUUCGUAUGUAAAAGUUAGAGUAAUCGGAGUGCAGCCCUGUCACGAGGCGAGACGUGGCGCGCCCCAUCAGACACAUGUCUGACGGGUAGCGCGAGGAGAUAGCCUGUGUUGCGAGACCGAUCUGACCCUCAAGAUGAUAUCUGAUCAAAAAACCUUCAACAUGAAAGUUGUUCGUCUCAUCGAAACGGUUAAGAUUGCUUUUGGGCUUGUUUUCAUCCGAGAUCGUUUACCACCGCAAAAAGGACCCGCAAGGUGCAGCCAGUUUAAACCGAACAGUUUUGGAAAGUUCGGAUAAAACCAGUCCGAAUUUGACUAGGGUUUUGGACGUGAAUUGAUAUAAUUUUCUUGUAAGGAAAGCCUAGAUAAAUUCUUUGCUUGUACAGGAAGUCCAGCCGCCUCUUAUAUAUGUUGGGGGUGACGGCCGAUUGAAACAACACCAAUCGAAUCAAUCUAUCAAUUACACUUUUGUGUUCAUCUACUUUUACUCCUUACCCUUGUAUCUUUCUUUCUCGUUCUUCCUUCGUUCUUCGCGUUGGAGGGCAGCGAUCCACGAGGCUCUAGGGGUGAGCGAAUCGACCUAGGGCAGCCCAUAGCCGCCGCAAUCCCUGACGGGGUCCCUCCCGGGUGCGCGGGGUUUCGGGUCUGCAAAAGCGCCCGCCGGCUGUCCUGCGUAUCGCGCUGUUGGUCGGGUCUCCUUCGACGUGAGCUGCGGUGCAUCACCCCCGGCGUCGAGGGUACACAGGACGUGUUCGUGUGUCAACACACUUUUUGGCGACUCCGCUGGGGACGAAGCUUUGAACAGCCUCCAACCUGUUCUUGCUACGAGGGGAGCGUCAUCAAGCGGCUGCAAUCUACAACGGUAACAUGUAUCAUCAAUCUCCUUGCAUAGAUGCAAGUAGCCAUUAUGUUGAUGUUGCUAGAUCUUUCAACGGACAUGUGAUGUCGGCCAGCCCUAAUGAGCAAAGGCCGACUAGUUAUUCCAUUGGAGAAACUUGGAAUUUACAGAAUCGUAACAUGCAACUUAUGAAUCUGAACUUUCGUGCAUCGGCAACAUCUUUCAAUAUGCCGGUGAACAACACGAUUUGUUCGAGUGAUCAAUAUAGAACACCUCAUGUACAGGAGGGCAUCUCAAAGUUUUAUCCAUCGGCAACCGACUCGCAAUAUGCGGGUUCAUCCCCAAACAUGCCGAUGAAUGGGGGAAUCGGCCAUGCUUAUGUUAGCUAUUUGGCCAGUUAUCCUCAAACAUCAUAUACUACACCUCAUCAGAUUAAUUGUUCAGUGGCGUAUAAAACUAAAAAUAUUCAUGACUCAGCUCACCUUCACGGUCAUGGUCGAGUGAAUGGAGAUUCUAUAAGAGCAUAUGUGCCUAAUAUUGCAGGAGAUGAGGUGGCUCUGGCUGCAUUAAAAUUUUUAGCCCAAAAUAAGAAGAUUAGUGCUAUUUGCCUUGAGCAACAUGACAAGGGAUUGGUUCCUGAUUAUGAGGCAAUAAGAGCUAGGGUUUUGAAAGAAGACCAAGUGUUGCCGAUUGAUCAAAUUGUCGAGAGAAAAUAUUCAACAACGAUGCACAUGCCUUCACCUAUCAUUGCAGCAUGUUAUACACCCCCUAUACAAGCGCAAAAUUUCGGCAACAUCAAUUCAUUGCUGAAAAAUCCUAAAAGUAUUGGGGGGGCAAGCCGAUCCAAGCAGGGUUGAGUUUAAAGAAAAAUAUCUGGCCCAAGUGGACAAGAUCAAGCCAAAGCUCACAGGGAAUAGAGUCAACGAAUUUACUACACCUACCCUUGAGGAAUUACUAGCAGAAUAUCGAAAGGCCUACGAAGCACUUAAGAAGAAGCAUGGAGAGGGAUAUUUGCAAGAAUACGUCAAGUGCCUUCCUCCAUGUAGCAACCAUGUUGGCCCUUCUACACUGUUGAGGCAAGAUAAAAAAGAAGCUUUACAAGCAAACUAGCAAAAAAGGAUUCACUCGGCUAAUAUGGUGGAUUCGGUUGAAACCGGAUUGAGCAACGGGAUGUUUAAGGCCAAGUGCGUUGCAUCAUGCCGACCGAGUGCAUCGUUCCAGACGAGUGCAUCACCAGCUAAAGCCGAGUGCAUCAAGCCAACUAUUGCCUCGUGUACCAAAAUAGAAGAUGCAAGCUUGGCUGAGCAAAGGAACGACAAACGCAACAAAUUGGUUGUGCUCAAUUUUUCUGGAUGUAAGGAAGCUUACAUGCUACCUUAUGAGUUUCGUGCUAAAGAUAUUGAUGAGCAUCAAGAACACAGUAAUAUGGCUGAACACAGUUCAGUUAACGAUGAACAUCAAGACCAAGAAAAUGCAGCCAAGCAAAGUUCAACUGACAAAGAGCGUCCGAGUGAAAUCCACUCGGGCAAUCCGACUGAAAUAUACUCGGGCAAUCCGAGUGAUGAGGCACCAGAUCUAGAAAAAGAGGAAGAGGCGUUGGAAAAUUAUUCAGAAGUGGUUCGUACUAGAAGGGGUACUCUUUGAGGUCCUUGGUGUUGGUUGAAUAGAUGAGAUUGUGUGACGCAUAUCGUAUAAUCAUACCCACGGAUACUUGAGGUGACAUUGGAGUAUCUAGGUGACAUUAGGGUUUUGGUUGAUUUGUGUCUUAAGGUGUUAUUCUAGUACGAACUCUAGGGUUGUUUGUGACACUUAUAGGAAUAGCCCAACGGAUUGAUUGGAAAGAAUAACUUUGAGGUGGUUUCGUACCCUACCAUAAUCUCUUCGUUCGUUCUCCGCUAUUAGUGACUUUGGAGUGACUCUUUGUUGCAUAUUGAGGGAUGGUUAUGUGAUCCAAUUAUAUUAUUAUUGUUGAGGGAACUUACACUAGCGAAAGUAUGAACCCUAGGCCUUAUUUCCUAUCAUUGCAAUACCGUUUAUGCUCACUUUUAUCACUUGCUACCUUGCUGUUUUUAUAAUUUCAGAUUACAAAUACCUUUAUCUACUAUCCAUAUUGCACUUGUAUCACUAUCUCUUCGCCGAACUAGUGCACCUAUACAAUUUACCAUUGUAUUGGGUGUGUUGGGGACACAAGAGACUCUUUGUUAUUUGGUUGCAGGGUUGCUUGAGAGAGACCAUCUUCAUCCUACGUCUCCUACGGAUUGAUAAACCUUAGGUCAUCCAUUUGAGGGAAAUUUGCUACUGUCCUACAAACCUCUACACUUGGAGGCCCAACAACGUCUACAAGAAGAAGGUUGUGUAGUAGACAUCACCGACAUUCUCCCUCUUUAUGUAAACCUUGUAAAAUAAGAGAGAGCAGGCAUAAGUAUUGUGACAUAAUGUGUAAUAACAUCCCAUAAUGCAAUAAAUAUCGAUAUAAAAGCAUGAUGCAAAAUGGACGUAUCAGUGGGCCGGAUGACUAAGAGUCGUCGCGGCAAGCUCUACAUCAACGACGAUGGCUGGGGCCCCAAGGUCGGCUCAAUCGAGUACGGGUACCGGGUCCCCUUCGGCGGAAUCUGCAGGAAAUAUGCCCUAGAGGCAAUAAUAAAGUUAUUAUUUAUUUCCUUAUUUCAUGAUAAAUGUUUAUUAUUCAUGCUAGAAUUUUAUUAACCAGAAACUUGAUACAUGUGUGAAUACAUAGACAAACAGAAUGUCACUAGUAUGCCUCUACCUGACUAGCUCGUUGAAUCAAAGAUGGUUAAGUUUCCUAGCCAUAGACAUGAGUUGUCAUUUGAUUAACGGAAUCACAUCAUUAGAGAAUGAUGUGAUUGACUUGACCCAUUUUGUUAUCUUAGCACUUGAUCGUUUAGUAUGUUGCUAUUGCUUUCUUCAUGACUUAUACAUGUUCCUAUGACUAUGAGAUUAUGCAACUCUCUUUUACCGGAGGAACACUUUGUGUGCUACCAAAUGUCACAACGUAACUGGGUGAUUAUAAAGGUGCUCUACAGGUGUCUCCAAAGGUACUUAUUGAGUUGGCAUAUUUCGAGAUUAGGAUUUGUCACUCCGAUUGUCGGAGAGGUAUUUCUGGGCCCUCUCGAUAAUGCACAUCACUAUAAGCCUUGCAAGCAUUGUGACUAAUGAGUUAGUUGCGGGAUGAUGCAUUACGGAAUGAGUAAAGAGACUUGCCGGUAACGAGAUUGAACUAGGUAUUGAGAUACCGACGGUCGAAUCUUGGGCAAGUAACAUACUGAUGACAGAGGGAACAACGUAUGUUGUUAUGCGGUUUGACCGAUAAAGAUCUUCGUAGAAUAUGUAGGAACCAAUAUGAGCGCCCAGGUUCCGCUAUUGGUUAUUGACCGGAGACAUGUCUCGGUCAUGUCUACAUAGUUCUCGAACCCGUAGGGUCCGCACGCUUAACGUUCGGUGAUGAUCGGUAUUAUGAGUUUAUGUGAUUUGAUGUACCGAAAGUAGUUCGGAGUCCCGGAUGAGAUCGGGGACAUGACGAGGAGUCUCGAAAUGGUCGAGACGUAAAGAUCGAUAUAUUGGACGACUAUAUUCGGACAUCAGAAAGGUUCCGAGUGGUUCGGGUAUUUUUUGGCAUACCGGAGAGUUACGGGAAUACGGGGGAGAAGUAUUGGGCCUAAUGGGCCAAGUGGUGGAAGAGAGGAGGCAGGGUGCGCGGCACCCCUAGCCCAAACCGAAUUGGACUAGGGGGCCGGCCCCCCUUUCCUCCUUUCCUCCCUCUCCUUCCUUCUCCCCUUCCCCCUUCCUUUCCUCCUCCUAGUAGGAGUAGGAAAGGGGAGUCCUACUCCUACUAGGAGGAGGACUCCUCCUCCUGGCGCGCUAGAAAGUUGAUCCUUUAUAUACGGGGGCAGGGGGCACCCUAGAAAGUUGAUCAUUGAUCCCUUAGCCGUGUCUCCACCAUAAUCCACCUCGAUCAUAUCGUACCGGUGCUUAGGCGAAGCCCUGCGUUGGUAGCAACAUCAUCACCGUCAUCACGCUAUCGUGCUGACGGAACUCUCCCGUGAAGCUCUGCUGGAUCGGAGUUCGUGGGACGUCAUCGAUGUUAUAUGCACGAGUAGAACACAAGUGAGUUGUGGGCGAUACAAGUCAUAUUGCUUACCAGCAUGUCACACUUUGGUUCGGCGGUAUUGUUGGAUGAAGCGGCCCGGACCGACAUUACACGUACGCUUACGCGAGACUGGUUCUAUUGACGUGCUUUGCACACAGGUGGCUGGCGGGUGUCAGUUUCUCCAACUUUAGUUGAACCGAGUGUGGCUACGCCCGGUCCUUGAGAAGGUUAAAACAUCACUAACUUGACGAACUAUCCUUGUGGUUUUGAUGCGUAGGUAAGAAUGGUUCUUGCUAAGCCCGUAACAGCCACGUAAAACUUGCAACAACAAAGUAGAGGACAUCUAACUUGUUUUUGCAAGGCAUGUUGUGAUGUGAUAUGGUCAAGACGUGAUGAGAUAUAAAUUGUUGUAUGAGAUGAUCAUGUUUUAUUGAAGUUGUCGGCAACUGGAAGAAGCCUUAUGGUUGUCUCUUUAUUGCAUAAGAUGCAAGCGCCAAAUAAUUGCUUUACUUUAUCACUAUGCGAUAGCAAUAGUUGCAAGAGCAAUAGUUGGCGAGACAACCAUGUGAUGACACAUUGAUAAAUAUCAAGAUGAUGGAGAUCAUGGUGUCAUGCCGGUGACGAUGGAAAUUAUGAUGAUACUUUAGAGAUGGAGAUCAAAGGCGCAAUAUGAUCAUGGCCAUAUCAUGUCGCAUAUUUUGAUUGCAUGUGAUGUUUAUCUUUUAUACAUCUUAUUUUGCUUAGUUCGGCGGUAGCAUUAUAAGAUGGUCUCUCACUAAAUUUCAAGGUAAAAGUAUUCUCCCUGAGUAUGCACCGUUGUCAAAGUUCGCCGUGCCGAGACACCACGUGAUGAUCGGGUGUGAUAAGCUCUAUGUUCAUCUACAACGGGUGCAAGAAAGUUUUGCACACGCAGAAUACUCGAGUUAAACUUGACGAGCCUAGCAUAUGCAGAUAUGGCCUAGGAACACUGGAGACCGAAAGGUCGAGUGUGAAUCAUAUAGUAGAUAUGAUCAACAUAGUGAUGUUCACCAUUGAAAACUACUCCAUCUCACGUGAUGAUCGGACAUGGUUUAGUUGAUUUGGAUCACGUGGUCAUUUAGAUGACUAGAGGGAUGUCUAUCUAAGUGGGAGUUCUUAAGUAAUAUGAUUAAUUGAACUUUAAUUUAUCAUGAACUUAGUCUGAUAGUAUUUGUAUAACUAUGUUGUAGAUCAAUAGCUCGUGAUGUUGCUCCCCGUUUAUUUUUAAUAUGUUCCUAGAGAAAAAUUAUGUUGAAAGAUGUUAGUAGCAAUGAUGCGGAUUGGAUCCAUGAUCUAAGGAUUAUCCUCAUUGCUGCACAGAAGAAUUAUGUCCUUGAUGCACCGCUAGGUGACAGACCGAUUACAGGAGCAGAUACAGAUGUUAUGAACGUUUGGCAAGCUCGAUAUGAUGACUACUUGAUAGUUUAGUGCACCAUGCUUUACGGCUUAGAAUCGGGGCUUCAAAGACGUUUUGAACGCCACAGAACAUAUAAGAUGUUCUAAUAGUUGAAAUUGGUAUUUCAUACUCAUGCCCGUGUCAAGAGGUAUGAGACCUCUGACAGUACUUUGCCUACAAGAUGGAGGAGAAUAGAUCAACCAGUGAGCAUGUACUCAGAUUGUCUGGGUACUACAAUUGCUUGAAUCAAGUGGGAGUUAAUCUUCCAGAUAAGAUAGUAAUUAACAAAGUUCUCUAGUCACUAUCACCAAGUUACUAGAACUUCAUGAUGAACUAUAAUAUGCAAAGGAUGACGAAAGUAAUUCUCGAGCUCUUCGCGAUGCUGAAAUUGGCGAAGAUAGAAAUCAAGAAAAACAUCAAGUGUUGAUGGUUGACAAGACCACUAGUUUCAAGAAAAGGGGCAAAUGGAAGAAGGGGAACUUCAAGAAGAAUGGCAAGCAAGUUGUUGCUCAAGUGAAGAAGCCCAAGUUUGGACCUAAGCAUGAGACUAAGUGCUUCUUGUUCGCACACAAACACGUCACCGUGUACCUCCAAUGCCGAGGGUGAUGCACCGCAGCUCACGUCGAAGGAGACCCGGCCGGAAGCGUGGUAUGCAGGCAAUCCAGCAGGCGCUUUUGAAGACCCGAAACCCCACACGCCCGGGAGGGACCCCGUCUGAAUGUGUAGCAGCUAUGGGCUGCCAUAGGUCGACCUGAUCGCCCCUAGGGCCUCGAGGUUCGCCGCCCUGCAAAGAAGAAGAAUAGAUGAAGAACGAGGAAGAAGAAGAACUAGGGUUAAGGAGAAAAGAUAAAGGAUAAAAAGUGAUAGAUGAUUUGAUCAAUUGUAUGUUGUUCAAUCGGCCGUCACCCCUUAGAUGUAUAAGAGGUGGCUGGACUUCCCAUGCAAGGAAAAGGCUUGAAUUCACGUCGAAAACCCUAGUCAAAUUUGGAUUGGUUUUGUCCGAACUUUCCAAAACUGUUCGGUUUAAACUGGCUGCACCUUACGGGUCUUUUUUGUGGUGGUAAACGAUCUCGUAUGAAAACGAGCCCAAAAGCAAUCUUGACCGUUUCGACAAGACGAACAACUUUUGUGUUGAACGUUUUUUAAUCAGAGGUCAUCUUGAGGAUCAAAUCAGUCGCGCAAAACAGGCUAUUCCCUCGCGCUACCCAUCACACAUGUGUCUGGUGGGGCGCGCCACAUCUCGCCUCGUGACAGGGCUGCACUCCGAUUUGGACGAUUUUUAUAUCAAAAUCGACCGUUUCGACGAGAAGAAGACAAUUCGUGUAGACCAUUUUUCCAUAUGAGGCAGUCUUGAGGGCGUAAUCAGCUGAAUAGUGUUCUGAAUACAAAAUCUCAGAACUUCGAACAUAACUUCGGCCUUAGAGAUGAGACCGGAUGGCUAUGGCGCAAAUAUCAAAGUUUCUCCUUUUGACGAUACGGAACUUUCUCACAUUGAGCACUUUUCCAUUUGAGGUCUUCUUAAUUAUGCUUUUGACCAUGCCAAAAUCUGGUGUCAACACAUGCCCCCCUGUUUUUCGGCAAAGCAUGUGUGCCGAAAAAUAACUUGCGCAUAGCUUGUUCUAAGGACGAUGCCAACACUCCAUCGGCCAUUUUGCAUGUUCUUAGAACGAUAAGUAUAUAUCGGCCAUUGCUUGUUUGAACCUCUUGAUGCAAACUUCGGUGAAAACUUCUCAGCUUCUAUAACAAUCCAGUGAUAAGGUUCCAUAGAUCAAAACCAUCCCCCGAACCAUAUUAUUCCCCCUUUUGCUAGGAUUUUGCAGAUAAUCAAGAAUGGACUUCCUUCAAUCCUUACUUCAUCUCAUGAUAAACUAAAAGUGAUUCGUCAAAACAUUUAUAGCUUUUAUUGUUGUACUACUCAUAACAAAUCACCGAAAGCCUCAAUAUGUAUAGCACCUAUAGCAAGGAAAAGCUCCAAUCCGAAUAACAAUGCAUAUUUGGCGUUGAUCAUUUGUGCAUAAAUAUUUUAAGCGGCAUGAGGUUUCACAAAAUAGCACCAUAAGGAGAUAUAUAAACAACACCAACACCUUGGCCAUUGCUACAAAUUUGACCAUCAAUAUAUAACCGCCAUGGUACUAGAGAGAUCAAGCUAAAACCAAUAUUAUGUAUGACAUUAAUCCGAUGUUCAGUAAUAAAAUCAACUAUGAUUUGGCCUUUUAUAGAUAUCAAAGAUGCAUAAGCCAAAUCGUAUCCAAACAAAGUAUAAGCCCACUAACCAAUUCUACAGCUAUGAAUUGGUCUAUGCAGCAUAUAUUCAAUGAUAUCGGUCAAGAUGUCUCAACUCCAUUCAAUCAUAAUAUAGGCAUGCAUAUAAAUUUCCAUGAGCACGUACCUUGUCUCGCUCUCCAAUCGAACUAAGCACGAUGUUAGAGUACUACACCGGCCAUGCGUUGACAUAAUCUUAGGACGAUAGAUAAAUAUCGGCCAUUACCAUGUAAACUUCAUUCAAAGCACAUAUAGUUGAAAUAAAUAAAUGAAAUGACAAAUCAAGUAUUUCAUCCCUUUGGAUCAGCAACAAACUUGUAGCUAAUCAAAUGUAUAGUGACUUGGUAAUACCCUUUCAUGACGUAAGAAAUUAUAUUGCAUCCAUGGAUUAAAAUAAGCCCAUUGAGGGUUACCAAUCAUACCUAAUGACAAAUUCCAUGACAUAGGCGUUAAUGGCAUAGUUGAAGAAUAUGGAUAAUGUGUAGACCAAGAAUGUUGAAACCUUCGGCUUGGUCCUUCAUAGUUUUCACUCUUUUCCUUCUUCACCUUUGCCGCACUUAUUGUAAUGUAAGCUUGCACAUAAUUCUUAUUUUGAGCACUUCCUUUGGGAACCCGUGCCAUGUUCCUUUCUUCAAGUUCUUGUGCACUAAGUUUUUGUAAUUUCUUCUUUUGCCAAUACGAUGAGCCGAGUGGGUAUCUCGGCUGCGAUUCUGUUUUGACCAAUGACAACUCUUUUUCGGCCUUGUGCACUCUCAACUUCUUUUCUUCAGAUUUGGCACUUUGACUUUCAAUAAUUGGUUGCUUCAUCUCAUUGCCUUUAGUAGCCAAUGUCAACACUUUAAUUGGCUCUUUGUUAUUUGAGAUCAAAUCUGAAGUAGCACACUUACGACCAUCUCUUUUAACACGGUACACUUGUUUGACCACCUCUUUCUUCUUCUUUGAGCUCCGGACCAAUUCCUUAUGAUUGAAACGGUCUUUAACAUAUAAUUGUUCAAAUGUUGAUCUUCUCGGAGAUGCAUAAUAUGAGUGAGAUGGUCUAAAAUAAGAUGGAGAGUGUACCCUUGUAUCAUACCUGUCCCAUGAUGGAUAUGGAUCUACAUGAGCAUAGGGAUGCAUCCACGGCAUUGGCACUGGCAGCCCAAAAUAAGGAUAUGAAUAUGUUGCAUUAAAAUGCUUGGUUUGCCAAUACCAUCCUCAUAUUUGUGCCUUGGGGACGGUCUUGGUUUCUUUGCAUGAUCUGGUCGAUAAGCAUUCUUAUCUUCACUCUUCUUUUGAUAUUUAUCCAAUAGUUCAGUGAAGGUGAUUUUUGAUCUCUUACACUGGCGCUUAUUUCGGCCUUUGUUUUCUUUUGGUUCGCUUUCAUCGAUCACUGGAUUUGCUUGUUGCCCCCCAGUCCUUAGCAUCUUCAUUGUAGCUUCGAUUGAAUUCUCGCCCUCAAGAUUAUGUUCAUUAUGCUCUUCAAAAACUUCUUUACUUGAAAGCUUGAUCCCAUCAUCUGCAGCUUUUACCUUCUCUUAAAAUGGAUCGUCUUGAAGCAGCCGAUGCAAAAAAAUUCUGCCAUCGGGACCAAUCAGAAUAGACUGGUCAUCUCUUGGUGUCUCAACAAAUUUCAAUCGUCCUUUAUCAAUGGCUGAUUUAACUAUUUGACGAAACAUGUUACAAUCCUCAAAGUUAUGCUUGGAUGAAUCAUGCAACUUACAAUACAUUCGUCCCUGGACAAAUGGCUCAACAUGAUGAUCAAGAAUUCUAAUAUAAUUAUUUCUCAACAACAAAUCAAAUAUUUGAUCACACAUGCUUGAAUUGAAGGUAAACUUUUUAUUCUCUAGCCGAUCUUGUUGUGAGAACGGCUUUGGAGUUAAGCAGACGAAUGGUUCAGAUUUUGCAUCACCCCAUUCGGCUAUGCAUUGUCUUUCGAUAAGAAACUAUACUGGCAUCGGUUUGCUCCGAAGAUUUUAACGUUGGCUUUCAAUUUUUGAAACCAAAAUAGCUAGAACAUACAUGUCUCAAUUGAGACCAAGUGUAAGCCAAGUAAGAAAUAAGCAGAGCUACCCAAUUAGAUAUGAGCAUUAGAUAAAGCAAUGGGGAAAGCCUUGGCUGCAAUAAUUUUUCGCAAUCGGUCUUUUUGAAUGGUGCAAUAUGUUGACCGAUAUGCUUUGUGACAAUCUGAUUGCUAACAGAUAAAUUACCCUUCUUCAUUGGUCUCUCAAUAUUUGUUAUGAAGAUUUUUCUAAUAUAUGCAUCAACAACUAAGUCAUGACCAAAUCUAAAAACAGGUAAAUUAAUUGCUAGACAUACAUCUUCAAAUAUGUUGGGAGAGCAUGAUGGUGGUGUGACUUGAAGAAUAUCUUGCUCUGCCUUCGGAUAGCUCCCCAGUGCCUUGUCAUCAUCUUUCUCUUGAUUUAGUGCAUCAUUAGUUUGAAGAACUUCGUCCACCAAACUUUCUUCGGCCACUCGUUCUUGUUCUUGAAGCUCAUCAAUUUCUAUGGCACGAAACUCAUAGGGCAGGAAGUAGGUUCCAUUAACUUCAGAAAAAUCAAGUAUGGUUGUCUUGCUAUACUUUCCAUGCCCUUUCUCAACAAUGUUUGCCUCUUUGGAUUUGAUGGAUUCGGAAUAUAUACUACUUGAUUCGGCUUUUUCAACCGAAGCACUUUUAGUUUCCGAAUCAUCAUUCUUUUCACCAGGUUAUAUCAAUUGGCAAGGAUUCUUUUCUUUGAGCUAAUUCCCUAUCAAUUCUUUCUUGGCGAAGUACUUGCACCCUAUCACGCAAAGCUUUAACUCUCCUCUCAAUUUCAGUCCGUCCGCUCUAGAUUAGUUUGCCCCCCAAUGCUUUUAGGAUCUUUCGGCAAUGAAGUUUUAGUGUUGCUGAAAUUUUGCAAUUGUGUAGGGGGUAUAUAAUAUGUUGUGGUACUAGGUAGAGGUGUAUGCACUGUUGUAUAACCAUAUGCUCUCUCACCAAUGCUAUCAAUUGAUGAGGUUUCAUCUUCCUGCAAAACUCUAGCCUUUAUUGCAGUAUAAUCAGGAAACAACCCAUUUUCAUAUUGUUCAAGGUAAAGAGCACUAAUUCUCUUGUUUUGUGUCAAGCUCUUUUUUAAUGCAGCCAUAACCGUUUCUGGAAGGGAUUGCUCCGCAAUACUUUCAGAUUCUUUCGGCAAUGAUUUGUGAGUGUUGCCGAAAUUCUUGAAUUGCAUAGAGUAUGCAUUAUAUGCUACAGUAUUUGAUGACGACACAUGUGUUCCUGUAAAAGUUUCACUUAUUCGGCUAACCUCUGAGGUUUGUUAGACAUGUCAUCUCUGACCUCUGUGUGCAUUUGUUAUGACCGGCUUGGUCUAUUCUAGGAAGAGGCCCACCGGGCAUUAGUAUUAGGGGCUUGGCCCACAAGUUAUCUUAGGCAAAUUAUCUUAGGAAAGUGUCCACUCCCUCCUUGCCCCUACAACCUACGUAGUAGAGCCGGUAGGAACCCUAGUCCUACCAAUUUGGUAAUCAGAGACCACGUUGCGAUCAUGUCGCUGCCGCCAUCACCGCCGCCGCUGCCCGUCGGUACCACCGCGCCCAUGAUGAUGGCGCCAAUCAUCACCGUGCUGACCACAUCCGCCGGGACCUCGCUGGCGUGUCCCAUCUCCUCCUCGGCACCGCCAUCUCCGGGCGCAUCUGCACCAUCGCUGGUGGCCGCCUUGUCUCUGGAGCAACUCGCCGCCACGCUACAUCACCUCGUCACCGCCGUCCACGGUCUUCAGCUCCAACAGCAAUAUGGGGCCGGGGCCUACGCUCACCCGCUGUCGGCCCCGAUCGCCGCCCCUGGUCUUCUCCUAUAGCAGCAGCCGCAGUACAGGGGCGGGGCGGGCCCCUUCACGCCACCACCAGGACCGCACCAGGGCGCGCCCGCGUACGGCGGGUCCCCGUUCUGGCCGAUCCAGGCGGGCUUGGCAUCCGGGCCAGCGCCGGCUGCGGCGCCCCUCUGGCCUUUGCCGCCGGCAACCUCGGCCGCCUCCUGGCUGCAGCAGCCGCCGCCCACCGUCUGGCCGGUUCAGCAGACGCCGUCCCCCGCAUGGCCGGUCCAGCAGCCGUCGCCGCCGGCGUCCCAGGUCCUGCUUCCACCGCCGUUCUCCGCGCCCUCAUCAUCCGGGACCAGCUCGGGCGCGGCCUCGACUACCGGGUUACCGAUCCAUCAGGUCCGGUUUCCCCCGUCCCCGUCCCCCCUGCCACCAUGGGCGGCGGGGUCUUCGCCUUCGCCGGUCUACACCACGACCCCGGUUGAGCCGACUCCGUUCCCGCAGUUCGGCGGGCCAUCCGGCCCCGCCGGCCCGUACCCGGACUACUCCGAUCAGGCACCCCCUGCUUCACUGUUCUGAGCCCCCGAGCCUGCUCGGCACGGCGGGCCGCAGCAGACACCGCCGCGGUUCACCAAACUCGACUUCGCCACCAACGAGGGCACGGAGGACCCCCUCAACUGGCUCAACCAGUGCGAGCAGUUCUUUCGAGGGCAGCGGACGCUCGCUUCAGAUCGUACCUGGCUCGCAUCCUAUCAUCUUCGAGGCGCAGCGCAGACCUGGUACUACGCCCUUGAGCAGGACGAGGGCGGCAUGCCACCGUGGGAGCGCUUCCGGGAGCUCUGUCUCCUCCGUUUUGGGCCUCCUAUCCGCGGGAGCCGACUGGCGGCCCUCGGCCGUUUACCAUUCACAUCUACGGUGCAGGACUAUGCCGACCGCUUCUAGGCCCUGGCGUGCCACGCGCCGGGCGUCUCCGCGACCCAGCGCGCCGAGCUCUUUGUGGGCGGUCUGCCGGACCAUAUCCGCAUGGACGUCGAGCUCCGGGAUCCCCCCGACCUCUAGACGGCCAUGUACUAUGCCCGGGCCUUCGAGCGGCGGGCCCAGGCACUGCAGCAGCCACUCGGACGGAGCGGUCGCCAGCCCAGUUGGCCAGCACCGACUUCCUCAGCCCCGGGUCGGCCUCUCCCAGCCGUGACGGCCACACCCCCGGCCGCCACACGGCCCUUCCGUCGGCUGUCACCGGCCGAGCAGCAGGAGCGUCGCCGUCAGGGUCUCUGCUUCAACUGCGAUGAGCCCUAUACGCCGACCCAUGUCUGCCCCCGCCUCUUUUAUUUAGAGACGGUCGACUACACCGAGGAGGACGACUUGCCCGACCCGUUACAUCCGCCUGCGGCGCCCGAGGACACGGCCGCGGAUUCCGCAGCAACGGCGUGCAUCGUCUCCCUUCACGCCCUGGCCGGCAUCCGGGGUGAGCGGACCAUGCUGCUGCCCGUGACGAUCCAUGGCGAGCGACUGGUGGCCCUGCUGGAUACGGGCUCCACACACAACUUUCUGCCCGAGUCGACCAUGCGUCGGCUAGCCCUCCCAACGACGGGCGGGGAGCGCCUGCGGAUCACAGUGGCGAACGGCGAUCGCCUCCGGUGCCAUGGGCUAGCCCGCGACGUUCCCAUCUCCAUCGGCGGCGAACACUUUUCCAUCACCUGUGUAGGGAUCGAUCUGGGCUGCUUCGACUUCAUCCUCGGGGUGGACUUUCUCCGGACCCUCGGCCCCAUCCUGUGGGAUUUCGACGCGCUCACGAUGACAUUCUGGCGGCAGGGCCGCCGCAUCCGGUGGGAGGGCAUUGGGGGCGCCGCGCCUGCCGUGCCACACCUCCAGCUGGCUGCCGCGUCCUCGGAGGCCGAGCACCCCCUGCUGGAUUCUCUUCUGCAGCAGCACAGCGACCUCUUCGACGAUCCGCGGGGUCUUCCACCGGCCCGGGUGUACGACCAUCAUAUUCACCUCGUACCAGGCUCCACUCCGGUGGCGGUACGGCCCUACCGCUACCCCCAGCUGCAGAAGGAUGAGUUGGAGCGCCAAUGUGCCCUGAUGCUCGCCGCAGGCAUCAUCCGGAUCUCCACAUCGCCCUUCACGGCGCCGGUGCUUCUCGUCCGUAAGUCAGACGGCACAUGGCGCUUCUGCAUCGACUACCGCGCCCUCAACGCACUCACGCUCAAGGACAAGUUCCCUAUACCGGUGGUCGACGAGCUCUUGGAUGAGCUCCAUGGGGCACGCUUCUUCACCAAGCUCGAUCUCCGGUCGGGCUAUCAUCAGGUGCGCAUGCAUCCGGACGACAUCGCCAAGACGGCGUUUUGCACCCACCAUGGCGACUUCGAGUUCUUGGUGAUGCCUUUCGGCCUCGCCAACGCCCCGGCGACGUUCCAGGCCCUGAUGAACGACGUCCUUCGACCCUACUUACGGCGGUUUGUGCUUGUUUUCUUUGAUGACAUUCUUAUCUACAGCGCCACCUGGGCCGAACAUCUCCAGCACGUCGCCAUCGUCUUCAACGAGCUUCAGGCGCACCACCUCCACCUUAAGCGCUCGAAGUGCUCGUUCGGGACGCCUACCGUCGCCUACCUCGGCCAUGUCAUCUCGGCCGACGGGGUGGCUAUGGACGCCGAUAAGGUGGCGGCCGUCACCGCCGGGCCGACGCCUCACUCGCCGCGGGCUCUCCGCAGGUUCCUCGGACUCGCCGGCUACUACCGAAAAUUUAUCCGGGAGUUCGGACUCAUCGCGGCGCCCCUCACGCGGUUGCUUCGCCGCGACGCCUUCACCUGGGACGACGAGGCGACGACGGUGUUCGAGGCCCUCAAGGGGGCCCUCACGACGGGCCCCGUCCUCAAGAUGCCCGACUUUGACCGUCCGUUCGUGGUGGACUGUGACGCCUCGGGCGCCGGGUUCGGCGCCGUACUUCAUCAGGGCGAUGGGCCCCUCGCCUUCUUCAGCCGGCCUUUCGCUCCGCGCCAUCUUAAGUUGGCCGCUUACGAGCGGGAGCUCCUUGGCCUAGUCCAGGUCGUGCGUCAUUGGCGGCCAUACUUGUGGGGGCGGACCUUCCACAUUCGCACGGACCACUACAGCCUGAAGUUCAUCCUGGAUCAAUGGCUGCCGACCGUUCCGCAGCACCAGUGGAUCAGCAAGCUCUUCGGCUUUGACUUCUCCGUCGAGUAUCGGCCAGGCCGUCUUAACACCGUGGCCGACGCGCUGUCCCGUCGCGAUUCCGACCUCGCGCCACCCGCCGACGUGUCCGCCGGGACGGCCCUGUGCAUCCGCUCCGGGCCAUCGUCCGGUCUCUUCACCGACAUUCGACGCGCCACUGCGAUGGCCGAUGACGCCGCACUUCUUCAGCAGCAGCUCGCGGACGGCGACUUGGAGGAGCCCUGGCGCUUCUCUGACGGACUGCUCCUCCAUGAACGCCGGAUCUUUGUUCCGGCGCAUGACGAUCUCCGUCACCAGGUGUUGCAGCUCGCUCACUCGGCGGGCCAUGAGGGUGUGCAGAAAACCCUCCAUCGUCUUCGCGCCGAAUUCUACAUCCCUGGCGAUCGUGCCCUGGUCCGCGACUGGGUUCGGUCUUGUCAGACUUGCCAGCGCAACAAGACAGAGACCCUGAGGCCGGCGGGGCUCCUUCAGCCCUUGCAGGUGCCGUCUCAGGUUUGGGCAGAUAUCUCCUUGGACUUCAUCAAGGGCCUUCCCAAGGUGGGGGGCAAGUCAGUCAUCCUCACGGUGGUUGAUCGCUUCUCUAUGUACGCCCACUUCAUCGCGCUGGGCCAUCCGUACACGGCGGCGUCCGUAGCCCGGGCCUUCUUCGAUGGCAUAGUCCGUCUACACGGGUUUCCGACGUCGAUCGUCAGUGAUCGGGACCCUGUCUUCACGGGCCAUGUCUGGCGCGACCUCUUCAGGAUGGCGGGUGUCCAGCUCCGCCUGAGUACGGCGUUCCAUCCUCAGACGGACGGUCAGUCUGAGGUGGUUAACAAGGUCAUUGCCAUGUAUUUGCGUUGUGUGACAGGUGAUCGGCCUCGCGCUUGGGUGGACUGGCUCUUUUGGGCGGAGUACUGCUACAACACUUCUUAUCACUCCGCCCUGCACGCGGCGCCAUUUGAGGUGGUCUAUGGUCGACCACCCCCGCCUAUACUUCCGGUCGACCCGGAGAUGGCUCGGACGGCGGUUGCGGGUGACCUUAUCCGCACCCGUGAUGAGAUGCUGGCUGAGGUCCGUCAGCGUCUCCUUCAGGCCCAGCAGACGGCCAAGCACUACUACGACGAUCAUCAUCGCGAGGCGGAGUUCGCAGUGGGUGACUGGGUGGGGCUCCGUCUUCUCCACCGCUCUACGCAGUCACUGGACCCGCGCGCAAAGCGCAAGCUUGGCCCUCGCUACGCCGGGCCAUUCCCUGUCGUGGAGCACAUUGGGAAGGUGGCCUAUCGUCUACAGCUUCCAGCCCGCGCCCGCGUCCACGACGUGUUCCGGCUGCUCAAGCCUUUCUGUGGCGAGCCACCGGCGGCUCCUCCGGCGCUUCCUCCAACCGCCGAUGGUCGCAUUCUUCCAGAGCCAGCAAAGGUGUUGCAGGCUCAGCUCCGUCGUGGCGUCUGGUUCGUCCUAAUUCAGUGGGCGGGCCUUCCGGAGGAGGAGGCUACUUGGGAGCAGCGUGAGGAAUUCCGUCAACACUAUCCAGACUUUCAGCUCGAGGACGAGCUGUUUGCGCAGGCGGGGAGAGAUGUUAUGACCGGCUUGGUCUAUUCUAGGAAGAGGCCCACCGGGCAUUAGUAUUAGGGGCUUGGCCCACAAGUUAUCUUAGGCAAAUUAUCUUAGGAAAGUUAUCUUAGACUAAAGUUAUGAAUACUCAUGUAAGACAUCGUUUUGAGGCAAGCAAUAAAGACUAUUAUUAUCUUUUGUUGCCCGGCUCCUAGAGGAGCCGGGCACCCUAGCCGCCGCAGCCAAGCCGCCGCCGCCCUCAACCCUAGCCGCGACGGCGCCCUGCCGCCGGCGCGCCCGUUCCUCGCCGCGUCCACUCCCUCCUUGCCCCUACAACCUACGCAGUAGAGCCGGUAGGAACCCUAGUCCUACCAGCAUUAUCAUCUCUAACUGUUGCUCAGCUUCUAAUGUUAGCUGCUCUGCUUUGCAUAUGACAGGGUCUGACCGUUUUCCCACAAGGAUACAGAAACCCCAAUGUUCCAGGGUGUACGAAGCGAAAGCAACCUGACUGGGCGCCUUCAGAUUUUGUUGAACAAGGACUUUGUGAAGAUUUUCUGCCUGCUGCAUCGACUAUGGUACAACUUGAGAACCUAUACGCUCAGUUACAGGAGCAUGCGUUAAAUGUUGGGGCCACUUCUUUCAAGUGCAAGAGCGAUAAAAGGGAGCGCACCCAUGUGUCUUCCUUUGUGGACAAAGAAACUCAGGUUACUGCUUUAAUCUUAUCGUUUCUGAAAUUCUUUCUAGGGAAUCUUACUGCUAACCAUUACCUUCUCUUUGACAUCAUACUUACCAUAUUAUCCGAUUCUGGAACAAGAAGCUAGGAAAGUACGUUGAUUUUCUGCGAUAGAAUGCAACCGGGUACAUAGUUGCUUUUCGGGCCUUCGCUGAUAUUAACGCGAUAAAAUACGCUCACUGGUGUUGCUUCAAGGACGACAAGCAGGUCCAAAGUGACUUUCCUGACACCACAUUUGAGGUCACAAAUUAUCAGGCGGGCUACAUAGAUGUGUACGUCAUUUACAAGUCACCUUCUCCUGCUGUCUUGAGUAUCUAUUUUUUCUUUCUUUUUUCCUAUUUUAUCUCUGACAAAGAAAAGAUGUGCAUUUUUUACAGUGCUGCGGUUGUCUUUGGUGUGGACACGGUCCAAUGAUACUUGAUGAGAUUUGCGCAGUACAUGAGGAGUAUGAUCAAGAAACAGUACAUGAGCAUCAUCACAAAACAAAAAAGCUGGUUAAACGUCUUCUGCACUUCUGUUUGUGUUGUUAGGUGAAGGUCCAAGGUUUGAUCUUAUCAAAGCGACUAUAUACUCAAGCAUAGAGAAGUUCUCUCACAAGUAUUGCCUAAAACAUCUUAGAUUAGCCGCUAUUUUGGAAGAAGUAAUUCAAAACUGGUCCAGUCUCUCAAAAACAACAUAUUUCCUAUUGCUUGUGCAUUAUGAAAAGAAGAUAAAGGCGAAGUGCCUUAGGGAGAGACAUGAUCCUGCUGAUAGUUCACUGCCACACUUUAGUCAUCGUCGACUAUUUUUGCAAUUUGAGGCACAGGCUAGGAUAGCACGGUACCGCUGCUUACAGGUGGAAGUCGGUGAAAAAAAGAUUCAGCAUGUCCUUAAAUUGAGAAAAGAUUCUGUGGAUGGGAAAUGGAUGUAUUAUGGGGAUGUAGCAUGUAAUCAGCUUCUUGGUGAUCAUCUGUCGCUUCUGAAGUAUCUGGACCAGUAUACUACUUCUGUGAUUAUGAGAGCUACUGGUUACCAGAAAGAACUGCACCCUACACUCUCUUCGUCAUCAGAAUCUGAUGAAAAGAACGAGAAAGGGAAAGACAAAGAGAAAGAGAAAGAGAAAGAGAAAGAGAGAGAGAGAGAGAGAGAGAGAGAGAGAGAGAGAGAGACGAAGUGGAUUACAAAAGAUGCAGAAUUUUGGAAGAAGUUCGCCGACUUCAAAGAGCAUCAUCAAAACUCUACGCUGUCUGCUACUCUUCACUUUGUCAAUGAUGCCCUCCCAUUCCUGCAACGUUGGGUUUUUGAAGCGGUCAAAGCUGAUUUGUAUGAGGAAGUCAAGGUUAUUUGUAGCAAGUUUAAAACUGCAUUGCAGAGGUAUAUUCAUCUAUUGUUGCUAGUUCCUGAUGUUUUCAUUGCUCUUCUAUCAUAGUAUGUUGCUCUUUUUGUCUAACAUCUUUGUUUCGUCAGAAUGAACGAGAUUGAAGCUGCGGGGUACGCUUGUGAUUGAUGGCCUGCCAGAAGGGUUGACAAACUGACAAAGCUGAAGCCUAUCUUCAAAUUUCUUAAUGAAAAUUGUCCAGAUUGGAGUCCGCCACAGCAAGAUCCAGUUGGACAGGCUGACCAACAGCAUGAUGAGGAUGAGGAGGAUGAACUAAUCAUGGCCAAAGGAAAGGGCGGCAAGGGCAGGAUGCAGUAUGUGAACCGUGAGGUCAAGGUCAAGGUCAAGGUCAAGCGGAAGCGGAAGGGCAAGGACAAGGACAAAAGCUAGUGUGUUGGUUUUACUGGUGCUGCACAUAGUUCUUGGUUAUACUUCUUCUGCACAUUAUUCUGGGUGGUUUUGAGUUUCCCCCUUGGAAGAUGGCCCAGUCAAUUAAUUGGGGGUGCUCUAAAAUUGCUUUCCAUGUUCUCUACCAUUUUGAAUUCGUUGAACUGAAAAUUGCAUUGCUCCUUGUGUUGCAAGUCCUAGUCAAAAGUUCAUUAUUACAAUUACCUUCAAGUGGAUCUGCUCUUUGCUUAUGGAAAAAAUUUCAGAGUGUGGUAGUCAGCAACAGUGUGAAUGGAAGGAGAUGCCUAAUUGUACCACAGUAGCAGUUGAUCAAGAUAUAAGAUGUGGGCAUGCCACUAGCGAGUCAGCCAUACCACCUGACAGUAAUAGUGUGUAAAAAUAUGAAACCCUAGAAUUAUGUGUUGUUGUAUGUUGUUUGAUCUGACCCUUGUGCAGGGUACAUAUAGGAGUACAAGAGGGGUAGAGACUUGGAGUACAAGACAAGUCACAUGUGGUUUAAACUAAUUCUAUCUUUAUCUCCUUAUCUCUAACUUAAACCCAAUUAUAUUUCUAACAUUCCCCCUCAGUCGUAGCGGGAGCGAAGCGGACGAGUACGAAUGGAUUUGAAGUCUUGCGCUUUCGUCGUCUUCUCCGCUGCGCCAUCAUCAACUGCGUCUCUGAUGGGUUGGCACCUAGGGCGGUGACUGCGUCCCCUUCUGGUGGAGUUGUUGCCGAUAUGUUGCUGUAGACGUAGCCAUUAAUGUCAAUGUCGAGGUAGCCGAUCAUGGUGAUGUAGCCGUGGUCGAGGUAGUCGUGGUCGAUGGUGUGGCCGUCAUGGAUGAUGAAGCCGCACAAAGCCGAAGGCGCAAAAAAAUGCGCUAUGGCGGGGCUGCAGACGUGGACGAUACACCUUGCGGAUGUCAGAGGGUGUCGUCGGCGAUGAGUCCGCCGGUUUUGCCAAGACCGGAGGAAGCCCAUCGAGCACACAUCGGUUUUGCCAGAACCGUGUGGCCAUAUAGGGUCGUCACUAUAGUGACGCCGUGUCGAUGCAGUCGUAUUGUCGUGGAUGACGCGGUCGAUGCCGUCGUCGUGGUCGCGCCUUGCAGAAAAAAAUCUGUCAGAGGACGCUAGUUGUCCAUCCUGUGGACGAGGCGGUGGCGGUGUGUCGACGAUGAUGUUGGUGAAGACCAUGUUGAUGAAGACCUUGGCGAUGAAGUGUCGGUGGUGCAGCGCCACCGACAUGUCGACAAUGAUGCGUCGCUUGGAGGCGUCCCUCGUGGCGACGGGGUGUCGAUGUCGUGUCGUGCUGAAGAAGUCGAUGAAGAAUUGCAUCUCGUUCCACACCGGCCUGGCGUGUGAACAGUGCAUAUUGAGGUCGCUUCUAGUAGGUGUGGUCGAUGAAGUAUGUUGGCUCGCGGACGGGCUAGUCGUACAGGUCGAUGAAGUGGCACAGGGUUGAUGCAGAGGCGUCGAUCGGUGGUGUAGAUGUCGAUGCAAUUGCAGCAGGCCGGCUCGGUGUAGAUGUGUUCGGCUUGGUGUAGUUCGGCUUGUUGGCGCGCAGGAGAUCGAUCGAGUCGGCCUGAUAGAGAUCGCGUCCGUGCGCGUGCAGUGUAGUCGAUGCAGAUCGUAAUUUGUGGGCUUGAUGCAGAUGGUUCAAUCGCUCGAUGCAGUUUGCCGUCGCGGUGCAGAUCGUUGUUGGUGUAGUCCCGAAACAGAAGUCGAUGUAGAGACAAUCCGUGUACGACCGGAGGCAUGGCCGACUAUCGGAGAUCCGAUCGAUCGAAGGCACCAGUAGUCGUCUGUAGACGCGUACGUGUAGACGAGACUGAAGCUUCAUCUGAGUGCAUGCACGUACCUCGGGCUACUGGUUGCUUCGUGUCCCACGUCCUGGGAGGCUGCGCAUGCACAUGGCCAAGUGCAUGAAUCAUAUGUGUGCGCAUCUGUUGAUGGAGCACUGCGCGUGUGUGCAUCCACCUCCACGACAAGCUCGCCAUACCUGUCUCUAUAGGUGCCGAGACAGCGCCGCCUUGGGUCGCGGCCGUAUAAGCCGCAUGCGGCCUGAAGUGAUCUGGACGAGGAUUUCUACACAACUUUCUCACCGAAUUUGAGGGUUGAGGGAUUUAUUGGUCGUGGCUACAGGAAACCAAUCUACUGGAAAUUCAAAAUUUGUGUAAUCUAACCUAUGAAUCGAUCUAAUCUAUAGAACCGAUCUCAUCUUUGACGAUCGGGUGCCCCGCCCCCAAGGAGAGGAGAUUAAUCUCCCCGGGAGCGGCGAGCUGCGGAAGCGGUGGAAGGUCCUAGGAUCGGCGUCGUUGGACAAACCGCUCUAAUACCAUGUAACAAUAUGAAACCCUAGAAUUAUGUGUUGUUGUAUGUUGUUUGAUCUGACCCUUAUGUAGGGUAUAUAUAGGAGUACAAGAGGGGUAGAGACUUGGAGUACAAGACAAGUCACAUGUGGUUUAAACUAAUUCUAUCUCUAUCUCCUUAUCUCUAACUUAAACCCAAUUAUAUUUCUAACAUAGUGCUUGGAAUCAGGUGGUCCGUUGGGAGGUACUACUCUUCAUGCUAUGGAAUCACAUAUGCUGCGAUUAUUUGUUCCUGUCUCAACCUCUCCUGGUUACACCAUUGUCAAUUAUCUGUGCAAUGUGAGCUUGAAUUGGUACUUGGGUGAGGUGCUCUGGGAUGUUAAGCAAUGGUGGUUGUAUGCAGUCAGCCCAAGCUUUCUUGAGACUUUAGGCAUGAGUGUUCUGAUAUGGGAAUUUCCUUGCAAGUGAGUGUUCAGAUCACCAGUACAGAUGGCAUGAGUGUUCUGAUCUGGGAAUUUUUAUCUCCUUGGAGUAACCUACAGGAAGGUGACACUAGUGGGACUGAAGCCAUGGAUUUCUUGGGAAUGUUUCUCUCUGGAAGAAUUUUCCAGCUUGCCAUAUUCUCUGUACUGGUGAUGUACGGAAGUGGUAGACGCACUUCAUUAUCUGCAGCUAUUUGAGGACAAAGUUGAAGCUUGGGUUUAGGAUGUUGUGCAACCUCCAUAGGAUUCCGGUGGCGCCAUACAACAUCGACUUGUGGGCAAGUCGAAUCUUAUGUGGGAGGGAUUGUUAGUGACCCUUCCUCUGACAUGGUGGGCCAUCGUCAUCAGGUGGGACCCAACACAGUUGGUACAAGGAGGUAACUAUAAGCUGGCGAGGAAGGACAUCAGGAAGCUAGGCUUGGAACAGAAUGACGGCUUUGGACGAGGCUUGUGUUGGCUAGGAUAGUUCCUGUUCAUCUUCUUCCUCAUGGUGAUUGAGUGGAAUAGAUAGGGAUCCUCAAAACUCCACUGGAAAUUUCCAGGUCUGAUAAGAGAUGGGGCAAUGAGUAGUGCACUCGUGAUGCUACAUGAUCAGAGAUCAGUGAUGGAAAUGGUCAAGCAUAUCACUAAUGCAGGUGUGAUGGACAUAUACAGCAAGAUACCUGAAGAUUUUUCAGAGGAAAUGCAUAGUGACUGCGAGUAUGCACAAGAGCAGCAACAACAUUCAGCUGGAGAAGGGCAGCAAGAACAUUCAGUUGGAGAAGAGCAGCAGCAACAUUCAGUGGAGCAGCAGCAACAUUCAGUGGAGCAGCAGGAAAGUGUAGGUGCAACUGAGCAGCAGUAUACUGCAAAUGCAGAGGAACAGCAGCAAGAGGCAGGUGCAGAGGAUCAUAUGGAAGAACCUUGGCAAUUUUCUGACAUGUAUUAUCAUCCUGGUAGGAUUUCUAACUUACCAGUGAGAAGAGGAAAAUCCGUUGUAGCUGAGGAGGAAGUAAACAUUGGUAAUCAUGAAUCUGAUAGUGACUAUGCUAUCCCCCUGCAGAGAGCAACAUCUCAGCAUCUGAUGAUGAAGUCUUGGAGCAUCUGAUGCAAGAAGAAGAGAAGAAGGUGAGAAACCACAGGGGAACAGGUUUUCAAAGAAAGGCAUUAAAAUUGGGGCGUGGAGUAUGUGAUCGUGAGCUCACAAGAGCUCGUUAUCUGUCCCGUCCAGUAUAACUUUGCGAUUCGUUGUAUUGAAUGCCUCUGACGGGUUGUGAGUCCAUCUAGAACAGAUAAAUUGAUAUAUGCAUGUGUACAGACCUGACUGGUGGGUCCUGUUCUACGCAGAUGUUGGGACGCCGCGGAUGGAGUGAGGCAGGGCCGUGGCUUGAGAUGCCACCGGUGUCCUGGUCCAUGGAUCAGAUCCUGUGCUCUCUGGUAACGACGGCAAUAGAUGGAGUAAAUGCAGGAGUGGGUUGCUGAGAGCAGCUGUCUCCUACCUCCCGAGAUUGGAUGCUCCAUUGGUGAAAGCGGCGAACCGGUGGAGGAGCCUCCUCCGACAAGGCGACUGGGCGCACCGGCGAGCAUGGAGUUCUUGAUGCAUCCAAUAAAUAGGUACUGAUCUGUUCGCUAUUGCUGCUGAUUCGCUACCGUUUUGAUUUAGGAUUUCCAGAAGAUUUGAUUUGUUUGCCGACUCUCUGUGCAAGCAGCAGAACUCUGCUAGAGGAGGUGAACGAGAACAACAUUGCCAUGGAGCCUCUUCACUACCCUGUGAGCACGCCGCCGGUGGUUGAGCUGCCGGCCAUGACGGCAUCAAAUGCAGACGGCUAGAUCUGUGCUGAGGACGCUGCUCCAGACGGGUGCAGUGCAGAUAAGGCUCAAGCUUCAGAGCACUUCAUAGAUCAGGUUGACCCGAAAACUCCUGGCAGGACGCAAUGGUAUGCAGAAUAAGAUUGAAAAAUAACUUCAUUUGGGUUCGAACAUUGAGAUGGCCCUAUGUUGUAAAGCUAUAGUGUACACAUAUAUAUUCCAGUAGUGAUUAGAAUCACUUAUUGAAUGUCCAAAACUGAGCUUGCGUAAAAAGAAUUAAGUCUGUACAAACAUGAUGUGUGAAGGAUGAUAAAUUUAGUCGCUUUCACUCUAAAAGGGAACCGAUUCUCUGAACAUAUUUUCAUGCUAGCAGGUUUAUUUCCUCCAGCUAAACACAAGGAAAAUGGGAGGCCUAACACAAGUAGGGAGAAGGCACUGUAUGAAGGGUUAAGUAAAUGGACCAGAUUCUGCAGCAUAUGUCGGCAGCAAGGUCACAAGCAAACGGCCUGUCCAGAUCGACGUACUGAAGCAGCCUCGCAAGCCAUCAAGGUAAGACUGAAGUAAUUGAUCAAUUUGGGGUACUUUAAUGAUCAGGUCCUUAGUUGUGUUCUAUCUGUAUAAUUAAGAUUUGUUGAGACUGUAUGAUUAUAACUUGUGUGUUACUCCUCUGCCUAGAAAAUAAAAUGCUUUUUAUUCGGCUUGCCUGGAUAGUUUCAGACUUAUAAGAGUGUUUGCCAAUGCUGAUGUUGUACUUUUUAUUACUGAAUUAAAUGUGUUGACUAUUAAUGAAUUGAUUCGAUGACUAGCUGUAGAUUGUGUUGUUCAGGUGAACUUGAUCCGCAGAUUUGAGGUGGUGUGUGAUACCAGUUAUUUCAAAAUCCAGCUGAUACAUGCUUUGAGUAACCAAAGACAGACAUAUGGCAUGUUUUGGGUCAAACAAGUUAAUUAAUGCAUUUAGUAGUGUUCCGUCAGGUGGAGCUAUCCUCGUGAGCGAGCUUGCAUUCGAAAUUCAAACAUCGUGGGCGGUAGAAGUGCAAAUGGUAAGAAACCUAUCUAUUAACUACAACAUCUUGAAGCUUUGGUUGCAUAGUGAUAACGUUAUGAAUUGAUGCAGAAAUGGAGGUGCCCUUCAUCGACUUGGUAACGAGUGUCCCGAUAACACAAACUGAGGAUCUUGGACCGGCGGCAAGUAUUCUCUACUCCCUCCGUCCCAUAAUGUAAGAUGUUUUUUGACACUGGGACGGAGUAGUAAAAAACAAUAGAAUAAGCUCGUGUAGAGGAUGGUAGACUAAGCUAUGCUGAUUGCAGAGGUGGAGGUGCCUUUCAUUGACUUGACCACAAGCAGUCUAGAUACAGAUGUGGACACAGGGGCUCCGCCUGGUAUGUCUGAUGCUCAUGUUGCAUAUGUUUGUUGAGCAAGAUCAAUCUUUGGAAACUGAUAAAAAAUGUCUUCUUGGUUAAACAAAUGACGCAGCGAGAUUGGCGCCUGUAAAGACAGAGGAUACAUCGGAUUGCCUAAAGUUUCAGACUGUCAUUGGUGGUAAGCAAGUUUGCAUAUGAACAUGUUCCAUGUAUGCGUUUUGCAAGGCUAUGUACAUUUGAAUAUGAGAAAACAACAUCUUGCAGGAGAACAAGUUAUUGGCUCUACCCCUGGCAAUUGAUGUACCUAUAGCAGCUCCUCACAGACGAGUAGAAGCAAUGCCAACAAUUCCGGCACAAGGUGGGUACACUGGAGGUAUAUUUCAAAACUGAUGUUCAUAAAUCACGUAGAUUCUGCUUGUAUGAAAACAAACUUUGCAAAUUAUGACAUGAACUGAGUGCUGAAAAUUAUGUUGGCGUAGGCAUGGAAGAGCAUGUCGUUCUAAUGUCACAGACAAGGAAUAAUGCAGAUGUUAUAGAGAUUGUGGUCAGACCGUCCGGCGAUAAAAUUGAACAGAGCACUCAGUGCUUGAAGUUUGAGACAAUAAUAGACGGUAAGUUCUGUAUCUGAAUGUGUGUAUAUCAUUUUGUGAAGUAGUUCAUGGUGGCUGAUUGCAUGCCAAAUCCAAUUUGUAUUUAGUAGGGCUGGCAUGUGUGGGGUCAUCACCACCACAAGGUUUUAGAAGCACUUCGCAAGCGCGAGGGAGUCAUUGCGUCUGAUCAAGUUAGGUCUGGUGAACCCAGAUGUGCUUCUAUUACCUAAUUCUGUACGGUCAUUCUAUACAAUGUAAAUGAUGCCAUGCUAACUCAAAUUGAUGGGUGGCCUGCAAUGCAGCCAGGUCAGAUGGCAAGCUGCCAUUGAACAUGUCGGCAGCAGCAGGCAUUAGGAGGCGGCAGAAGAGGUGUGCAAACAGGGGCAGCAGGCAGUAUCGUCAGAGGAGAUGCCUAACGCGAUCAAGCAGGCAUUUGUCACCUCGAAAAGCUCUGAUGAAUAUGAAGAUCCGGCUGCAAUCAAGCUACAGGUAUUGGCAGAGCUGAACUUUAGCAGUGAUAUUUGUUCACUUUGGAAAAUAGUAGUACUAAUCAUUAUGUUUGUCAGGUGCCACACCCAGGAAAGAGGACAAAGAAGCAAGCAGGGCCUACUCCAGCAAGGCCAACAUCAGUGCCCAGAACUGCUUCUCAACCAGUUGGAAGGGGAAGCCGGAGGAGUCACAACAGGGCAGGUUGAAGCUCCAGAUAGCCUGCUCCAGGAGUUCAAGCUCACAGCAAGUCCGAAGGCAUAACAGCACUGGGGAACAUUGAAUGCCUAGCUUU